GUAGGGUGCGAGCGUUAAUCGGAAUUACUGGGGCGUAAAGCGUGCGCAGGCGGUUGUGCAAGACAGAUGUGAAAUCCCCCGGGGCUCAACCUGGGGAAUUGCAUUUGUGACUGCACGGCUAGAGUGUGUCAGAGGGGGGUAGAAUUCCACGUGUAGCAGUGAAAUGCGUAGAGAUGUGGAGGAAUACCGAUGGCGAAGGCAGCCCCCUGGGAUAACACUGACGCUCAUGCACGAAAGCGUGGGGAGCAGACAGGAUUAGAUACCCUGGUAGUCCACGCCCUAAACGAUGUCAACUAGUUGUCGGGUCUUAAUUGACUUGGUAACGCAGCUAACGCGUGAAGUUGACCGCCUGGGGAGUACGGUCGCAAAGAUUAA
rnacentral:rRNA from 1 species